rnacentral:rRNA from 1 species
UACGAGGGGGGCUAGCGUUGCUCGGAAUCACUGGGCGUAAAGCGCACGUAGGCGGAUUGCUAAGUCAGGGGUGAAAUCCUGGAGCUCAACUCCAGAACUGCCCUUGAUACUGGCGACCUCGAGUCCGGGAGAGGUGAGUGGAACUGCGAGUGUAGAGGUGAAAUUCGUAGAUAUUCGCAAGAACACCAGUGGCGAAGGCGGCUCACUGGCCCGGUACUGACGCUGAGGUGCGAAAGCGUGGGGAGCAAACAG